UACGUAGGGAGCAAGCGUUGUCCGGAAUCAUUGGGCGUAAAGCGCGCGUAGGUGGCCCCAUAAGUCCGCUGUGAAAGUCAAAGGCUCAACCUUUGAAAGCCGGUGGAUACUGUGGGACUAGAGUACGGAAGAGGCGAGUGGAAUUCCUGGUGUAGCGGUGGAAUGCGCAGGUAUCAGGAGGAACACCAAUAGCGAAGGCAGCUCGCUGGGACGUUACUGACACUGAGGCGCGAAAGCGUGGGGAGCGAACAGG
rnacentral:rRNA from 1 species